GCACUCAAGGAAGAGUGGCAGGCGGAAGGGCUGCUGGAUCUUUUCUACUCAAUGGGGGAGGGACCCCAGGAGGUCUGGAAUCUUGAGAAGCAAGAAGAUUCUGACUGAGAUUUCAGUUAGGUCUCUCAAUCUUGAAAAGCCUGGGAGAGAGGGUUGGCCAAGACUUUCUCCUGAGGAGUUACUCAUCUUUUCCUCUCCUGUAAGAGUGUUGCAAUCAGCAAAUAUAUGAGAGGAUCCUAUCCUGAUGAAACCACAGGCACCAUGAGAGGAAAAGAAGAAUAAGAAGAGGGCCUAAAAGGGAAGUGACAUAAAAGGGGAUGGAAGAAAGUCACAACAGAAUGAAUAGGAAAUGACCAAAUGGAGUAAAGAAAAUGAGAGGGUCAGCGAAGAAAAUGAAGAUCAGUUGAGAUCAGCUGAGGGAGCCUGAAAGAAUAAAAGGUGUCCUGAUCCACGAUGGCUCAUAAGGAUUACAGCAGGACUUGAGUGAAAAUGAGGGCUGCUCAUCAGGAAACAGCUAUACUCAUGAACAUUAAUAGCAACAACAGAGAAAGAGUUGUUUGGGGGUAAGGGAGAAAUUCUGGCAUUUUCCAAAGCUUAUUUUGUCAAUGCUGUUUUAAACAAUUUUAAA